GAUGAACGCUAGCGGCAGGCCUAAUACAUGCAAGCUGAACGGUAAAUGUUGUAGCAAUACGAUAUGAGAGUAGCGUAAGGGUGCGUAACACGUAUGCAAUCUACCCGCAACAGGAGGAUAGCUCCCCGAAAGGGGAAUUAAUACUCCAUAAUAUCACGAGAGGGCAUCUGAUUGUGAUUAAACUCCAAGGGGUUGCGGAUGAGCAUGCGUCUGAUUAGUUAGUUGGUGAGGUAACGGCUAACCAAGACGAUGAUCAGUAGGGGAACUGAGAGGUUGAUCCCCCACACUGGCACUGAGAUACGGGCCAGACUCCUACGGGAGGCAGCAGUAGGGAAUAUUGGUCAAUGGGUGAGAGCCUGAACCAGCCAUGCCGCGUGCAGGAAGAAAGCCUUCUGGGUUGUAAACUGCUUUUGCCAGGGGAUAAAAUACCCAUGCGUGGGGAAUUGAAGGUACCUGGUGAAUAAGCCACGGCUAACUACGUGCCAGCCGCCGCCGUAAUAC
rnacentral:rRNA from 1 species